rnacentral:rRNA from 1 species
UGNUCAUCGAAAAUACACAAAUACACAAAUGUGCUUAUUGUGAUAACGUAAGGGAAAAAAAAUGAUAUUACCUUACUAUAAGUGUUGUCUAAAUAACUGGUGCCAGAAGACUCGGUAACACCAGAAACGCGAACGUUAGUCGUCUUAAACAGGCGUAAAGGGUAAGUAGGCUGCUUUAAAGUCUAUUUUUUUAAUAAGCUAAUUAAUAAUAUUCCUAUCCCUGCUAAGCAGUAGCAUCCCCCUCGCUUGCUCCUUCGGAGGGGUCAAGCGAUUAGCUAAGGCAGGGGUGGCCCAUAACUAUAAAUAUUCUCUCUGAAAGACCUUAAUUUAUAAAUUAAGGGGAAGUACAUUGAAAAUAGGGAAUUAUUAUUUUUAUGUAUAAGUAAUAAUAAUAAUUAUUAAUGGGAACAAAAAUAGAUACACUUAAAGCUAGAAUCAUAAUUGAGAUAAACCAAAUAAUACUUAUGUGUAAGGGCGAUAUCUGCAAAUACUAAGUAGAAUACUAACGGUGAAAACUUUUUAUCUGGUAAUGAUUGACGCUGAGGUACGAAAGUGAGAACAGGGAAUAGGAUUAGAUACCCAGUUACCUCUCACCGUCAACGAUGAAUGGUAGUUGUUAAUUUAAUUUAAUUAGUGACGAUGUUAACGCGAUAACCAUUCCGCCUUGAGAGUACGGUUGCAAAACUGAAACCAAAAAAAUUCAGUCGGUCUACGGAGUCAAA